rnacentral:rRNA from 1 species
AACGAACGCUGGCGGCGCUGCCUAACACAUGCAAGUCGAGCGAGAAAGCCCGCAAGGGUGAGUACAGCGGCGCACGGGUGAGUAACACGUGGGUAAUCUGCCCUGGAGUCCGGAAUAACUCGCCGAAAGGCGUGCUAAUGCCGGAUAAGACCACGGGGGCUCCGGCCCCUGAGGGAAAAGGUGGCCUCUGCAUGCAAGCUAUCACUUCAGGAUGAGCCCGCGGCCCAUCAGCUCGUUGGCGGGGUAACGGCCCACCAAGGCUACGACGGGUAGCUGGUCUGAGAGGACGAUCAGCCACACUGGAACUGAGACACGGUCCAGACUCCUACGGGAGGCAGCAGUGGGGAAUCUUGCGCAAUGGGCGAAAGCCUGACGCAGCAACGCCGCGUGUGUGAUGAAGGUCUUCGGAUCGUAAAGCACUGUCGGGAGGGACGAAUAAGGCCGGCGCUAACAUCGCCGGACGAUGACGGUACCUCCAAAGGAAGCACCGGCUAACUCUGUGCCAGCAGCCGCGGUAAUACAGAGGGUGCAAGCGUUGUUCGGAAUUAUUGGGCGUAAAGCGCGUGUAGGCGGCCAGCCAAGUCGGGUGUGAAAGCCCUCGGCUUAACCGAGGAAGUGCGCCCGAAACUAGCUGGCUUGAGUACCGGAGAGGGUGGCGGAAUUCCCGGUGUAGAGGUGAAAUUCGUAGAUAUCGGGAGGAACACCAGUGGCGAAGGCGGCCACCUGGACGGAUACUGACGCUGAGACGCGAAAGCGUGGGGAGCAAACAGGAUUAGAUACCCUGGUAGUCCACGCGGUAAACGAUGAGCGCUAGGUGUUGUGGGUGUUGACCCCCGCAGUGCCGCAGCUAACGCAUUAAGCGCUCCGCCUGGGAAGUACGGCCGCAAGGCUAA